ACGGACACGUGCGUAUAUACUCAUCUAUCAUGUAUGUGCUUAAUUGCUUAAUGUUUCUCUCAUUACUUUUGUACAUCAUUUUUCAGGUGGGCUCAUAUCGCAAGUCAUUUACCUGGAAGAACAGAUAACGAGAUAAAAAAUUAUUGGAAUUCAUGGAUCAAGAAAAAGAUACGAAAACCGCACCACCACUAUUAUCGUCAUCAACCAUCUAAAACUACCGUGACAUUGAACGUGGAAGCUACAUCAACUGUUACGGCUCUCCCCUCAACUACCACCACUUCGACCAUCGAUAACUUGCAUUUUGAUGGUUUUAUGGAUUCUCCUAACCAACUAAAUUUUCCGUAUGAUCAAGAAACUAAUGCCAAGAUUCAAGAAGCCCCUUUCUCCCAUAAACCUCAUCUUUUCAUGCUAGACACAACACUUCCUGUCCUUGAAGGAAUGUUCUCUCAAAACAUCAUCACAAACAAUAACAACAAUAACAAUGAUUAUGACACACAAUCAGGAGGAAGAGGAAGUGUCUUCGAACAAUCAUUUUUGACACAUAACACGGAACAGGGAGAUAUGAACCUUCCUCAACAAGAACGGUUUCAAGUUCCUACGAUGGUGUCAAAUUUGUUCAGCAAUUCUACCAAUUCAAAUACCGAGACAGUUACAAGUUACAAACUACCGGCGUUGGUCGGGGGAAAUGUUAAUAACAUCUCCCAAGUUGACAAUAAUAAUGCUCAAGAUGGAGAUAUAGCGUCCACAUUUGAAUGUUUAAGGAAGCAAGAACUAAACUAUGAUGAAUGGAUAAAUUCACAACAGUGCUCUAAUUUUUUCUUCUGGGACAACCUUAACAUUAACGUGGGAGGUUCAUCUCUUGUCGGAAAUCAAGAUCCAUCAAUGACCUUGGGAUCCUCUGCCUUAUCUUCUUCUUUUCCUUCUUCGUUUUAAAUUAAUGAAUCAAUCACAUGAGAGGAACUCAUGCUAAUUUGUCUAUAUAUAAGUUUGUUUCUUUUGUUUUUUUAUUAGAGGUUGUUUUCGGACGAUAUUUACUUUCAAGCUGAUGUUGUAAUGAGUGUUCUAAAUUGUUGAUAAGGAUAUGGUGUGAAUAUAUGUUUGUGUUGUUUUCUAGCUCAUGGUUUUUCUUUUAUCCCUAAACUUAUGUAAUAAAGGACGAAGUAACCUUUCCACUAUAAAUAGUGACACUUUCUCAUUCUCUUUGUAACAAGAAACAUCUAGGGGAAUAUCUCCAAAUGAGUCUCAAAUUAGGAAAAUGCCCUUGCUUAAGUUUAGAGAGGAAUUAUCAAUAUUUUUAGGUUAAGGAUGACGAUUAAUCCCUUCGUGAAGAGAGAAGAAUUGGUAAAGUACGACGAUAUGACAAAGGGAAAGAUGUGGAAGAGGAUUUCGUACGCUUUGUUGCUGAGGUAGGUCUGCAAAUAGGAACAAUGUAGGAUAGAUUUAAACCUCAUAAUUCUUAUCCUCAUCACAUUUUUCAAUGAAGUACUAGUUGUUUUGACCGCUAAUUAUGUAACAGAUAGUCAGAAUGAUAGUAUCUAACAUAUUUAAUACUUCCUCUGUUUUUUAAUAUAAGUCGUUUUACAGAAAUUUUUAUGUUCUAAAUUAUAUGACGUUUUUCAGUUUUUUAUGUAAAAUUUAUUAACAUUUAAUGUUAUAUGACCAGUGAUAGUAUACCUUCUAUUUUAUUAUUGGUUGAUUUGUGGUUAGAUAAAUAAUUAAUGAUGUUUUUGGUUUAAAAAAAUAAAAAAUUAAUAAUUUCUUAAUUUACGUGCACAAUUCUAAAACGAUUUAUAUUAAAAAACGGAGGGAAUCAUAAAUAACACUUUUUAUUAGCAUUUAUAUUAAAUAUUAUCUUUUAAGUGGUAUAUUCUUUUUCGGUCUUCAUCAUCCCAAACUUCUUUUCAAAUCCAUAUUUGCCAGUCUCUUAUGUACUUGAAAAUGGAUGAGAGUAAAAUGAAAAUCAAUCAAUAUUAUUUCAAACUCACUCAUAACGCUUCAGAUGAGAAGAGAGAUGUAGAGUUGGAGAACCUAGAACCUCAGAGGAGAUAAAGCUGAGAGAUGCAGAACCUAUGAGAUAAGAGGAGAAAGAAUUAGAGUUUAGGACAGUGGGAAAAUAUUAGAAAGAGAGAUGGUGUUAAAAGGCUGAGGGCAUAGUUCUAACUAUUGCCACAUAUGGAUACAUAGACGCCAAUUUUCUCUUGUAACAUUUACAAAAAAUAAUAAGAAACUAAUCAUUUCUUCUUUCACAUUAUUUCCUUCCACCAUAAACAACAGAAUAUAAUAAUAGUAUAAAAAAUUAUAGUUAUACAUCCAUAUAUAUGCGUUCCCAAAAAAACACAUCCACCAUAUAUAUAUAUAUAUAUAUAUAUAUAUUUAUACUAGGGUCGGUCUGGAUUACGUCCGGAGUUUUUGUUUAAAUUCAAAUGUUGAUUAUAUAUAUAGUAUGUUUAUUUUAUUUAUAAAUAUUAUAAUUUAUUAUAAAAAUAUAAGUAGCCAAACAAUUAUAAAAUCAUUUUAAAUUAUUCAUAUUUAUAUAUAUAUAUCAUGUACUAAAUUGUUUUAAUAAUUAUGAGAAAUUCUCUUAUAUAGUCAUUUUUAGUUUAUUUUCACAAAAAUAGACUUUAAUGAAGAAAAUGACUAAAAUAAAUUUUAUUAAAAGGUAAAUAUGCACUUAUAUCCAAAGAUUAACUAAUCUAGAUUUAGUGUUUAGAGUUAAGGAGUGAGGUGGAGUGCGGUUUUGGGGAUAUGUUUUAAAUUAAAAAAAAAACAAAAAAAUAUAUAUUAAAAUUUUCAAAAUAAAAAAAAAAUUUAUUUUGGUCAUUUUAUUUUUUGAGUGCUAUUUUUGUAACAAAAACAUAAAAAAUAAUAUUUGAGAGAAUUAUCCUUGUAUUAUUAUGCAUAUCACAUAUUUAAAUUAUUUUUAUACUUUUUGAUGAUUGAUACCAGUUUUUAAUAAUAAGCUUGUUGGGUUUGGGAUACAAGCUAAAUUAUAAUAUAUUUUAUUAUUAUAUAAUCAGUUUGUAUAAAUGUAUAAAUUUAUUAGUAUUAAUAAGUUUAGACACGGUUCUAAGCAACGACCAGCCUACGGUUGAUGACUAAAGAUUUAUUAGCGUGUAGUUUCAUUCAUCUUGUUAUUUUGUCUACUUGCUUGAGCUACAUAGUAGUGUACAUUUCAAGUCACUUAAUCGAACAUUCUCAAAAUGUACGUAGUCCACCAGACGUACACACACAUGUAUGCAUUAUUAGGAAAAAGAAAAAUGUACACACGGACACGUGCGUAUAUACUCAUCUAUCAUGUAUGUGCUUAAUUGCUUAAUGUUUCUCUCAUUACUUUUGUACAUCAUUUUUCAGGUGGGCUCAUAUCGCAAGUCAUUUACCUGGAAGAACAGAUAACGAGAUAAAAAAUUAUUGGAAUUCAUGGAUCAAGAAAAAGAUACGAAAACCGCACCACCACUAUUAUCGUCAUCAACCAUCUAAAACUACCGUGACA
rnacentral:lncRNA from 1 species